rnacentral:rRNA from 1 species
AUGCUGGGCGUGAUGCAAAUCAACCUCCGCUGCCAGGAUCCCUUCCCAUCUUCUGCAGAGCGCAUCAGAUGGCUCCAGAGCGUGGAUGAUUUGCAAAACAAAGAGGGAGAGAUCAAGAUUAGGCUUCACAAGUACAGCCUAUCUUAUUUUAAGAGGUGCUACAUCAGUAGGGAAGCCUAUAGGGAGCUCAACAAAGCCAAUGAACUCAUCAGCCAAGGCGACAAAUUAAUGCCAGAGGUAAAGGCAAGCCCACGUCCUGUCCGCCAUGUCCAGCCACAAGAGCUGCGAGCUCCAUUGCCGGGGAUGGAGGGCUCGUAUAAGAAGGUGCUCGAUUUCAUUAAGGACAAUAAUGCAGAGUCUGCAUUGCUUGGGGUUUGGGGCAUGGGAGGCGUGGGCAAGACAACCCUUAUCAAUCUGGUAAGUGAUUCUCGUUCGAAGUAUCAUGAUGAUUUCGCCGAAGUACUGUUUGUUCAAGCUGGCAAGGGAUGCUCUACAAUUGCUGAUUUGCAAAAGGCUAUCGCCACUAGUAUAGCAUUACCUCAGAUAGGCAACCAAAUUUCCCAAGCAAAUAUCAUUCAUAACCACCUCAGGGAUAAGAGCUUCUUAUUGUUGGUGGAUGAUCUAUGGGAGGAUCUUAAUCUGGACGAACUAGGCAUCCCCUCGCUUGAUGUAGUACAGCCACACCGGCGUAAAGUUGUGUUCACAACUAGAAGCAUGUGCGUGUGUAGCAAGAUGGGAUGCUGCUGCCCUGAGGAUACCAUCCAAAUGAAGUGCUUGAGUAAACAAGACGCAUGGAAUCUCUUUGCUCAGAAGGUGGGAAGUGAAAUCUUUGAUGAUAAGAAAAUUCAUAAUCUUGCGAAAGAGAUAGUUGAGGAGUGCAACGGCUUACCAAUGGCUUUAUGCACACUCGGUAAAUUUAUGUCGCCCAAGAAAGAUCACAGGGAAUGGAGAACCGCCAGAGAUCUGCUGAGGAAUUCAAAACUCCAUGAAAUCACUGAUACCCAUGAAGAUUUAUUCAAACAUCUACAAGAAAGUUAUAAUAAUCUGACAGCUGUUAUGAAGAAGCGUUUUUUGUUAUGUUCUUUAUGGCCUGAAAAUAAGAACAUACCAAUGAAGAUACUUAUAAGGUGGUGGAUAGGACUUGGUUUGUUAAAUGGUCCUAAUGCCAGUGAUGUGGGCUAUACCCUCAUUAAUGACUUAGUGCGUGCAUCCAUGUUGGAAAAAGGUGACACUAGCAUUGACUCCACAGAAAAUUCACAUGUCAAGAUGCACACCAUGAUGCGACUGAUGGCUAUCUGGAUUGCGAAUGAACAUGGAUACAAGACCAAGUUGUUACAAAAUUCCCCAUAUAGAGCACCCUUGGCCCAAGAGAUGUGGCACACUGUGGAGAAGGCUUGGGUAUCAGAGGAAGACACAUCAAGAUGGUGUCAAUGGUCUUCCAACGUUUGUUUCCCAGAACUCAAGGUGUUGGUGGCUCAACAUGUCUUCUCGCUUAAACUCAUUCAUUACUUCCAAAAUAUAACCUUUUUAAACUUGGAGGGGAAGGAAAUAAUCGAUUGCCUUUUGAGGUAUGCUCAUUGA